rnacentral:rRNA from 1 species
GAAUCAGUAUGUCGGGCGUGCUUCGGUACGUACUGUCAUUACUGGUUUCUCCCUUCUGAAGAACCAUGAUGUCAUUAAUUUGGUGUCUUGGGAAAUCAGGACUGUUACUUUGAAAAAAUUAGAGUGUUUAAAGCAGGCAUACGCUUGAAUACAUUAGCAUGGGAUAAUGAAAUAGGACGUUUGACUCUAUUUUGUUGGUUUCUAGGAUCGACGUA